CAUCUGAGAUAAUGAACGAAGAAACCCAAAAAAAUAUUAGGGAGCUAGCUUUCUCUGCAGCCUCAAGUUUCUCCGUUUUCAACUUUUCGAGUUUCUUUCUAGCUUAUUUUUAAGCUUUUUAAGGCAGUGAGAUUUCCAUGACCCCAUUUGGUUUAUCAUUACGCGAUCAUAAAGCAAUGCACUUGGUGAAAGGGCUCGAAUGGAGUUCUGCAACAAAGGAAAAGCAGCUUCUCGAGGAUAUAUAUGCAUCAUUCGGAAUCUCCAGAAAAGUACACGUACAUGGCGACUCUCAGAUCGAUCUGGCAUGCAUAUUUUGAUGAUUAAAAAUGAUCAUUUCAUGCUCAACACAACCUAGCUUUUAGCGCAGAUCGUUAUAUCGAUCCUGUCUUUCAACAUGUACCAACUCGAUCGAUCCAGCAGAUUGGUCUAAGUUGCUGCAUUCUAACAAGCGGCUUUCAUACAAGUGAAUGAUCCUGCUUCGGAAUUCAGAUUAUGCAUGCAUAUACAAGUUCAGGUACUGGUAGAUCACUAUUGUGUUUGAUCGACAUUAACCCUGUGAGAAUCAUUCUGGAUGAAAGAGGAAGACAUGAGCACCGCAGAUUCCCAGCCACCGAAAGCCUGAGCAGAAGAAUCAGCAGGUGGUGCAAUCCCAUUAGGAUGUUGCAUUCCUUGUAAUGGCUGCGAAUGGUGCUGGCCUGCUGCAGCAGCAGCAAACGGAUCCUCAUUGAUCAGAGAGUUCAGAAACGAAGAGAAGACGUCGUCGGUGCAACAGUUCAUGUCUUCAUCCUCCUCAUUUCCAAUUAGUAGGUUGCUUCUCAGACCUCCCAUUCCUGCUGCAGACCCAUUAGAGUCAUUGGAGGUCAUAACAUUACCGUAGCCGUUGGCUCCGUGGACUAUAGCUCCCAGAUCAUCAUCAUUGGUAACAUGGUACCCAUUUUCCCUCGCACUGGGAGCUGCUUCCUCAGGUGAUGAAGAAGUAAUUGGACUUUUAGGGCUAGGGUUUGAGCUCGUGCCUCCCCGAUGCUGAUUGGUCUUGGAUGAAGAAGCAGCUGCUCCAUUAUUGUUGACAGCAGCAUGGUCAGCAGAAGAGGUAUCUGGAUUGAGUGGCUUGUGGGUUCUUGGAUCUAUGCCCUGACUGAUCAGCUUCUUGCUCAGGUGAGUGUUCCAGUAGUUCUUUAUCUCAUUGUCUGUACGCCCCGGAAUCCUCCCAGCUAUCAGAGACCAUCUACAGUUACGACGGUUGGAUAUAUUCAUCGAUCAUCUCAUUCAAUUGGAAAACAUUAGAAACCCUAACACCCGGAAUAGAUAGACAUACCUAUUGCCGAGGAGGCGGUGGAGGCGGAGGAUGAGAUCUUCUUCAUCUGCGGCGAUCUGGCCCCGCUUGACGGAAGGUCGGAGGUAGUUCAUCCAGCGGAGACGGCAGCUCUUGCCGCAGCGGAGGAGGCCGGCGCGCUUCGGGAGGGUUCUCCACCGGCCCUCGCCUUCUUUCUUGAUGUAAUUAGCUAAGAGCUCAUCUUCCUCGGGAGUCCAGGGACCUCUCUUCAGACCCACCUUGACGCAGCACGGCGUCUUGCUCGAGGAAGACGAUACUGCUGCUGUUUUGGGUGCAGCUGCUGAUGAUGAUGAUUUUCCUUUGGAGGAAGAUGAGGUCGAAGAUGGGUUCCUCAUUUUUUGAUGAAGAUAGUGAAUCGAAUCGAGCUGGGUUUCGUUGUGACUAUUCUGGAUGAGAUGAAGAUUUGUUUCUGUUCGUUGUUUCUGGCGACGGAAUUGGGGAGAUGGGGGGUGUUGAUAAUUCAGGGUUUCUGGUUUUGCUUCUAUGUUUUUGUUUGUUUCUUAGAUGGACAGGAUAUAGCGAUCGGGGGAUAUGGUUUCCUCACGCGCCUGUCGACCCGGUGAUAUCACGCGCAGAGCAGCAGUCAAUUUCUGCUUUAUUGGGUAGUAGUAUGAGACUAUUAGUCUUCGUUUUGCUUUACUCUCAUAGUGGAUAUGCUCCCCAUUUGUGUGGAUAAUUUCCAUUAGCACACUUGUCUUGUAUGGGAAGGAAUUAAGGAUGCUUUCAUUAUGUAUUUAACUAUAUAUACAGUAUCAAUAUCAAAUAUUAAUAUCAAUAUCAAAAUCAAUCAA